AUAAAUGAGUGUUCUCGAAGCUGGAUCAAUGUCUUUUACUCAAUUUUUUACACAAGAUUUUGCAACUUUGCCACUUUUGAAAUAUGACUUAGCAAACGUAACUUGAAUCUACCAAAAGUCAUAGUAAAGAAAAAGCUCUUAAACUACCCAUGAAAGAUGCGCAAAAGAUAUUAAGUUGUUAUUUAGCGGCAGUUUUAAAAAUUUUGUUGUGGAAGUAUACGCCAUUUUUUUAAUAAAAACGACUUCAACAGAGAUAAUUUGGACUCUGUAAUUUUGUACUACAAAAUUACAGCGCUCUGUAUAGCAGAUUUACUAUAAACCGUAUUCCAAAAAUAAAAGGGAAGUUGAUUUGGUAUUGAAGACAAGGAGCUAAAAUCGCACGCUGUAAAAAAGAAACUACUACACGAAAUUCAAAAUUGAAUCUUUGACUCGAAAGAACCAACUAGUUAAACUAAAAAAAUAGCAUUACGCAUGAAAUGAAUUGCUUGAGUUGUUGACUUCAAGUUGAAAAGGAAUGCGGAAACAGUAAGAAAAAAGUAAACAUUAUAAAGGCAUCGUAGGGAGUGGUAGAGGCAUAUUCAAAUGUAGAUUCAAUGUCUUUAUACCUUUUUGAACCAUGUUGAAGAACCUAAGAAGGCAGAAGAUUGAUCAAAGGCCCAUUCACCAAAGUUUAGAUACUUUUCGACAGCUGUCUUAACGUCUUCGUUAUGAAUUUUCUCGACCUCAAAACUACCAUUACAUGUUGUUAAAAACUAUAUCGACAAAUGUAAUUAGAGAAUGCUACUUACGAAAUACCAGAUGAUCGACGGAUGCCGGCCACACAAGUAGAGACUAGUGCUAAGUCGACACCGUAAUGAAAUAGUCGGGAAAGAAAAGGCUACUAUUAGUAUUAUUUGAUGCUAAAACAUACCAUUAUCGAUUAAAUAGAUCUUUUUAAAGGCACUAUGAGAACGUCAGAGAGGAGAGGUAUUUGGGUGUGGUUGAGGUAAGUGUUUAGUCUAGCGUCAGUUUAUAAGACUGAGAGGUCGGUAAAAAAAUACCAUAGAAUACCUCUCAUCUUCCUUAUAACAUAAAAAUAUUAUAAUUGAUGUUAAAUUCAUAAAACUGGGGAAUUAAUGAUUGGGCUAAUUAAUACUACAUAAAUUGUCAAAAUCAUUCACAGAUCAAAACCUUUGUGUUCAGCUAGUUUAAAAAUUUAGUUAGCAAUUUAUAAAGGCUUAUGUAAAGAAAAAGAGAAAAGUAUCUAGGUCUGUCUCAUAAGUGUGAAAUGAAAUUCUUGGGGUUAAGUAUGGUAAACUGCACGAUAAAUUACAAGACUGACACACCCAUUUUAUGAAGAAAAUGCCAUUUUAUUAUU